CUGUAUCCGAUGCUGUUCCACGAUCUCCUGUAUCAACCGUACAAAGCGGAACUCUACUACGCCCUGUCAUGGCCGUACCCAGCGCUGCUCCACGACGCCCUGUAACGGCCAUGUCAGUGGCCACUCCAUCGCGCCCCACGAUGACAAACCCCCCUGAGAGACCCCCCAGCCAGGUAUAUAUGCGGCUGGGGGAAGAAGGGGGGUAAGCAAUAUCUUCCAGAGCACUCCCUUGCUUGCGAUUAUCAUCUCUCCUCCUCCUCCAAUCUCCUCUGACUUGAUCGUCGGAGGGCCCCCACUACCCCAGUGGUGGUGCGAGGCUUGCUUGCAGGUUUCCCGGUGGAAGGUGGAGCGUAACCAACACCAACCAAGACAACUCAGACGGAAUCCCGUUCACACCGCUGUGUCAAUCGUUCUCGGUUUGGACCACCAGCAACAGUUGGCGCUAGAAGGAGGGCCCGAUCUCAGAGCGAUCGUAAUGGCACGGCGAGGUGGUCGUGGAGCUUCCAAUGCCUCCGGUCGCGGGGCCUCUCGCGCCUCCGGCCGGGAGGCCGCUGCGUCUCCAACACAUUCUCAGCAACACUCCACCGUUCCACCCCCGAUUCAAAUGGUCGAAGCCGCUCAGUUCGACCAGUUAGCCCAGCAGGUCCGCACCCUCGCGGAGGCGGUGCAGAACCUGCAGGGUGUGAUGUCUCGGGCGCCGCAGCGGGCCCAGGA
rnacentral:lncRNA from 1 species